AGUGAACGCUGGCGGCAGGCCUAACACAUGCAAGUCGAACGCGUGCAGCAAUGCACGAGUGGCGCACGGGUGAGUAACGCGUGGAUAUCUGCCUUUUGGUUCGGAAUAACCCCGGGAAACUGGGGCUAAUACCGGAUGGUUCCUGCGGGAUAAAGAUUUAUCGCCAAAAGAUGAGUCCGCGUACGAUUAGCUAGUUGGUGAGGUAAUGGCUCACCAAGGCAACGAUCGUUAGCUGGUCUGAGAGGACGAUCAGCCACACUGGGACUGAGACACGGUCCAGACUCCUACGGGAGGCAGCAGUAGGGAAUAUUGGACAAUGGGCGCAAGCCUGAUCCAGCCAUGCCGCGUGAGUGAAGAAGGCCCUCGGGUUGUAAAGCUCUUUUGUCCGGAAAGAAAAGCACUGGGUUAAUACCCCGGUGUCCUGACGGUACCGGAAGAAUAAGCACCGGCUAACUCGUG
rnacentral:rRNA from 1 species